AUGGGGACAGGGAUGGGGACGAGGACGAGGUCGACGACGACGACGGGACGCUCCUCCGUGGGGCUGCGGCGGCGGCUGGCUUUGGGGUUUGGGUUGUUUCGUUGUUGGCUCCUUUUUUUUUUUUUUUUUUUUUUUUUUUUUUUUAACCCCUUCUGGAGCCUCCCCCAGCUUUGCCUUUAUAUAGGGCCGGGGGGCCCCCGGGGCUCCCCCCCCCGCCGCGGAGCCAAUGGGCAGGGGAGGAUGCUCGGGGGCCCCGGGGGGAGCGGGGCGGCGGAGGGGGGCGUGCGCCGCGCUCCCGGCUCGGUUUCUUUGGGCUCGCACCUCCGCCGCUCGCUUUCUCCUCCCGCUUGGUCCCUGGCCGCGGGGAGAAGGGGGCGAGGAGUGACCCGAGGGGGGACCCCAGCCCCUGUCCCGUCGCCGCUCGAUCCCCUUCGCUUUUCUGCUGCCGGUGGUGGGGGUGCCCGAGCCCCCUUCUCCGGAGCACAGCGCCCGUCGAGGGGCGAGGGGUGGCAGCGGGGGAGCCGCAUCCCCGACAGCCGGGCCAGGAGAGCCCCUGGAGGCCGCAGUCCCGGGGCAGGGUCCCAGACCCACGCGGGGGAGACCCCACGGGAGCGCAGUGCGGUGUGGCCAGGGCACGGCAGCACCCGGAGGGCCAAGGGUGCUGGGAGCACGUCGGGGAGCGGGGUGAAGGCACCGCGGGGUGUCCUUUGGGUGUCCGUAGGCUGGGCGCAUGGGGUGGGCUCCCAUCGCUCAGGGCACGUUGCACACGCGUGUGCAGCACACCGCUGCGUUGCACGACCGCACGCCGCACACACAAGGGUCCGCCGCACACGUGCUGCUCACACAAAGACCCCCACGUCUCGAGCGGGAGGUGCUGCACGCCUCGCUGGGCUGUGCACAGCACAACCGGCACGGGCACGGGCUGCGGGCACAGCUCACGGGCACGCACCCACGCUCAGGGUGCUGCACACACCCCCCUGGGCUGCACGCACACACAUGAGCUGUGCACGUGCACCGUGCAGGCCUUGCACGUACACACACGUGUGCAGCCAUGCAGACACUGCACACAUAUAA
rnacentral:lncRNA from 1 species